CUGCCAGUAGUCAUAUGCUUGUCUCAAAGAUUAAGCCAUGCAUGUCUAAGUCCAAGCUGUGUUCACACGGCGAGACCGCGGACGGCUCAUUAAAUCAGUCGUGGUCCAAAUGGGCCAGUGCAAAUCCUACUUGGAUAACUGUGGUAAUUCCAGAGCUAAUACAUGCAACUGAUAUCCCGAAGGCGGUGUUUGGGCUUGCUUGCCUUGCGCUGCGCUGCUCUGACGGAUGCUUUUAUUAGACCAAGCCGCUGAGGACUUGAGGGUUCGCGCUCUCUUGUCUGACUCGUGUGAUGGUGACUCUGGAUAACCAAAUUCUGACAAGCGCACGUACUUCUCUUCUGAGCGAGACGGCGCUGCCACUUUCGAGUGUCUGCCUUAUCAGCUAUCAACCGUUCGUUAUGCGCGACCGAUGGCUUUGACGGGUAACGGGGAAUCAGGGUUCGAUUCCGGAGAGGCAGCCUGAGAGACGGCUACCACGUCCAAGGACGGCAGCAGGCACGCAAAUUACCCAAUCCCAGCAAAUGGGGGAGGUAGUGACGAAAUCUAACGAUGCGGGCGCCCUUUCUGGGGCCCCGCAAUCGGAAUGGGCACUUUCUAAACAACCUGUUGAGAACCUACUGAAG
rnacentral:rRNA from 1 species